GGCAUUGUACUUUAUCUGCAAAGCACAGUUAUGGCCUCUUUUUCAGUCUUUUAAUUCUGACUUUAAAUAAUACGUGUCCAAGUACUCAGGGUAAGUCGGUACGAAAACGAAUCAGAAUAAUACACUAAUGGCAUUAACAGCGUGAGUGUACUUAAAUCAAGACAAUUUAUAUACAAGAUUAUAGUAUACACCACGAGAUUCAGUUUCCAGUAAUUUGUAUGACCACCAUUUUAGAACGUGACAACAAAAUAUAGGUACUAUGUUCUACUGCAACUUUUGUCAGCAUCAAACGUCAUCAAUAAAGGCACACAUGGAACAUCGAAGUUUUCAUAGAAAUGUUACAAAAUUCUAUUAUUGCGGUUACGAAAGAUGCCACAAAUUUUUUGGAAAAAAUCAUACUUAAAAACCCACUUAAUUAGAAGUCACGGUUUACGAUUAAAACAAGAACAAAUUAUGACCACAUGUCCAGCAGAUGAACAAGGGAAAUUUGUAUGUACUGUUGUGACAUAUCAAAAAUAGUUUGACAAUCAUAAUAACCUUCUGAAACAUUUAAAAAAUCACAUUCGAAACAUCAGAGGAAAGUGUUUUGAUGAUGAAACUGCAAAGUUCAACGUUAUUAUUAAAAAAGAAUUAUCUAUUCAUGUAACCAAUGCCGUAGACGGUAUCUUGAUCACGUUUUUAUCUUACUACCUAUUUGGGUUUUGCUACCCAUCCGAAUUGGAAAAAACAUUGGAAUUCAUCCAAAGAUUAUUUUUAAAAAUUAUUCCACCAACCGGAAGCAAACGACCAUCAAAUGCUAAAAGACGGCGUAAAUCGUAUGAUUCUGCAGUUUUUAAGCUAGCCAAGCAAUUAGCAGGAUUUUCAAAUGAGUUUGAUGCAGAACAACAUGAAGAACAAGAUACCGUAUAAAAUUAAAAAAAGGGUAUUUCCAUAGUUAUAAUGAUCUUACUUGAAAUCAAUACAAAUGAAAAUUGUCUUUAUCAAGGAAAAUUUUAACUUUUGGUCAGACUGAAAUCAAUGUGAUUCUUUUAUAACAAUCGAUAAAUUAUUCUUAAUUUAAAAUGCCAGAAUGGCUUAUCACAUUGAAUAGUAACAAAAAAUGUACUUUUUAUUCUAUAGUCUACGUAUCUGGUAAAAUUAAUCGAUAGUGCGUAAAUUAAUGCGAGUAGGGAUAAUCCAACAACUUUGUAAUAAAACGUAAUAAGGUGCGUAGACAAUGUUUUUUCUAAACUUUUAUUCUGCGCACUAAUUGUAUUUGAAAAGAAAAAGCGAUAAAAAAACGGUAGGAUACGAUCUAUGUUUUUUUUUAUUUACAUCAAAGUCUUAAGUUAAUUUUGCAAAGUCUGUAUUAAAUAUCUUUGAAAUUAGUUCUGACUUCAGAAAAAUAUAUAUAUAUUUUUUUUUUCAGACACUCAAUAAGUUAGCAAUAAUUUCAAAAGCCAGAAAGAAUUUAAUAGUAGCAACACAUGAACUUUUUAAUAUAUAGUCUAUGUACCUAGUAAAAUUAAUCGAUAGUGCAUAAGUUUGUACGAGUAGGGAUUUUAAAAAAAACUUGGUGAUAAAACGUGAUUAGGUGCAUAGAGAGUAAUUUUGUGAAGACUUUUAUUUAGUGUACUAGUUGUAUUUGAAAACUGAAAAUGAUAAAAAAAAGUUCUAGGACACGAUCUAUAAUUAGUUUAAAUCAGAGUAUGAGGUUAAUUUUACAUAACCUAUAUUAAUCAUCUCAAAAGUUAGAUCUGACUUUAAAAAAAUUAUUUCUUGUAAGAUGCUCGAUAAACCACUAAUAAUUUUAAAUGACAAAAAGAUUAAUUACAAUAAUUAGUCUCAAUAAGUAUACUUCGUAUAAUACAGUCUAUGUAUCUGGUAAAGUAAUCAAUAAUGCAUAAGUUUGUAUAAGUAGGGAUAAUCAAGAGGCUAGGUGAUAAAACGUGAUUAGGUGCAUUGGCAGUAUUUUUCUAAAGACUUUUAUUCUGCGUACUAAAUGUAUUUAAAAACUGGAAGUGAUAAAAAAAGUGCUU
rnacentral:lncRNA from 1 species